rnacentral:misc_RNA from 1 species
AAGUCGUAACAAGGUUUCCGUAGGUGAACCUGCGGAAGGAUCAUUACAAAACAAAAUCCAAACCACACCAAAUGUGCUCUAUAAAUGCUGAGAAGCUGUCUUUGUGUGUGAAUAUGUUACUGUCUGUGUGAGGAGAAAAAUUUAUUUUUUCCUCCUCGCACUCUCACACACACACACACACACAAUCCUUCUUUUCAGCAUUGUCUUUGUUUAUCAAUUUUUUCAUUAACUCCUUGUUUAACCAACAACGGAUUACAAUGUUAAAACUUGAAACAAAAAAACAAAACAAAAUGACAACUUUUAACGGUGGAUCUCUUGGCUCGU